rnacentral:tRNA from 2 species
GGGCUCGUGGUUUAGUGGUUAUAACGCUGCCUUUACAUGGCAGAUGUCGCCGGUUCGAAUCCGGCCGGGCCCACCA